UACAGAGGUCUCAAGCGUUGUUCGGAUUCAUUGGGCGUAAAGGGUGCGUAGGCGGCGCGGUAAGUCGGGUGUGAAAUCUUGGAGCUUAACUCCGAAACUGCAUUCGAUACUGCCGUGCUUGAGGACUGGAGAGGAGACUGGAACUUCCGGUGGAGCGGUGAAAUGCGUUGAUAUCGGAAGGAACUCCGGUGGCGAAAGCGAGCUGCUGGAUCUCUACUGACGCUGAGGCGCGAAAGCCAGGGGAGCAAACGGG
rnacentral:rRNA from 1 species